CAGGGACUCCUUUCCGCUUUGCUUGUUUUACUCAGGUUUGUCAAAGAUCAGAUGGUUGUAUAUGUGUGGCAUUGCCUCUGAGGCCUCUGUUCUGUUCCAUUGGUCUAUAUCUCUGUUUUGGUGCCAGUACUAUGCUGUUUUGAUUACUGUAGCCUUGUAGUAUAGUUUGAAGUCAGGUAGCGUGAUGCAUCCAGCUUUGUUCUUUUUGCUUAGCAUUGUCUUGGCUAUGCGGGCUCUCUUUUGCUUAGAAUUGACUUGGCUAUGCGGGCUCUCUUUUGGUUCCAUAUGAAGUUCAUGGUGGUUUUUUCCAGUUCUGUGAAGAAAGUCAAUGGUAGCUUGAUGGGGAUAGCGUUGAUUCUGUAAAUUACUUUGGGCAGUAUAGCCAUUUUCACGAUAUUAAUUCUUCCUAACCAUGAACAAGGAAUGUUUCUCCAUCUGUUUGUGUCCUCUCUGAUUUCGUUGAGCAGUGGUUUGUAGUUCUCCUUGAAGAGGUCCCUUACAUUCCUUGUGAGUUGUAUUCCAAGGUAUUUUAUUCUUUUUGUAGCAAUUGCGAAUGGCAGUUCGCUCUUGAUUUGGCUUUCUUUAAGUCUGUUAUUGGUGUAGACGAAUGCUUGUGAUUUUUGCACAUUGAUUUUAUAUCCUGAGACUUUGCUGAAGUUGUUUAUCAGUUUCAGGAGUUUUUGGGCUGAGGCGAUGGGGUCUUCUAGGUAUACUAUCAUGUCGUCUGCAAAUAGAGACAAUUUGGCUUCCACCUUUCCUAUUUGAAUACCCUUUAUUUCUUUUUCUUGCCUGAUUGCUCUGGCUAGAACUUCCAGUACUAUAUUGAAUAGGAGUGGUGAGAGAGGGCAUCCUUGUCUAGUACCAGAUUUCAAAGGGAAUGCUUCCAGUUUUUGCCCAUUCAGUAUGAUAUUGGCUGUUGGUUUGUCAUAAAUAGCUUUUAUUACUUUGAGAUACGUUCCAUCGAUACCGAGUUUAUUGAGGGUUUUUAGCAUAAAGGGCUGUUGAAUUUUGUCAAAUGCCUUCUCUGCGUCAAUUGAGAUAAUCAUGUGGUUUUUGUUUUUGGUUCUGUUUAUGUGGUGAAUUACGUUGAUAGACUUGCGUAUGUUGAACCAGCCUUGCAUCCCU
rnacentral:lncRNA from 1 species